CAACUACAGAGUUCAGUAACAGGUGUAUUCUUCCUUGUGAAGCUCCAUGCGAAGAGGUCAACUGAAACAAGCCCCACCUAUAUAAAAACGCCCUAAUCAGACACCCUAACCCUUUCCUCACUACUUUACAUCGACCCUUGAGAACAUAACACUUCGUUCAUCAGCACGGGCAGCAAACCUAACAGCGUUCUUUUUAACAUGGACAACAUAUAUGGUAAGUAAAACAAGACUAUUAAUGGAUUCUUAAAUUUAUACACCAGUAUAUCAUAAAACAUUCAAACUGUUUUCUUUUCUAAACAAAAGCCUGAUUUUUAGGAACUCGGCACAACAUACGUUCCACUUACACAAGGAUCACAAAGCUAUAUAGGUCAAACUACACCUCUUAAAAACACAAGGUUCAAUAAGUUGUCCAGAAAAACCUGCAGAAGCGGGAGCAAUAAGUCCAAGCCUUACGUUAGGUAUGUAUACAAGUCUCUAUACAUGACACUCAAUUUAAAGGAAAAAAGGUUUUAAAUAUUUACAAAUGUUCUAAUACACCAGGCCUGAGACAGAGUACGCAGCGUGUCAAGAACCGGGGCCAUCCGGAAUAACACAGAACAAAGUCGAUCACACAACCCCUUACCACUAUGGGCCCCAUGAAGACCCCUUGAUGUUUUUGGUAUAUUUACGCGAUAUUGAACUCCCAGAACAACAAGAAGAAAAACCACAACCUUUGGGCAACAUCGGAGACUCGGAAGAAUUCUUCAUCACCGGACCACACAUACCAGCGAGUGAGUGUCUGCCUAGUGAUUUCAGCGAUGUUUUUGAGUACAGUCUAUCAGAUUUCAAUAUAAAUGACAUACCCACCACGCCAGAAUAUCUCAGAAACGACAACAGUGAUUCAGACAUAGAUUUUGAAGAAGGGUGCAUAACAGACUCACAAAUAUCAC
ensembl:lncRNA